GAUGAACGCUAGCUACAGGCUUAACACAUGCAAGUCGAGGGGUAACGAGAGGAAAGCUUGCUUUCCUUGUCGACGACCGGCGCACGGGUGAGUAACGCGUAUCCAACCUGCCCCCAACUAGGGCAUAACCUUGCGAAAGUAAGACUAAUACCCUAUAAUUUCCUCAGAUGUCAUCUGACGAGGAAUAAAGAUUUAUCGGUUGUGGAUGGGGAUGCGUCUGAUUAGCUUGUUGGCGGGGUAACGGCCCACCAAGGCAACGAUCAGUAGGGGUUCUAGGAGGAAGGUCCCCCACAUUGGAACUGAGACACGGUCCAAACUCCUACAGGUGGCAGCAGUGAGGAAUAUUGGUCAAUGGGCGGAAGCCUGAACCAGCCCAGUAGCGUGCAGGAGGACGGCCCUAUGGGUUGUAAACUGCUUUUAUACAGGAAUAAAGUUAGCCACGUGUGGUUAUUUGUAGGUACUGUAUGAAUAGGGACCGGCUAAUUCCGUGCCAGCCGCCGCAGUAA
rnacentral:rRNA from 1 species